CUUGCUGAAGUAGAAACAAACUCAGAGAAAGUUGGUCAAUGAUCUAGGAGGUACCCCCAGGAGAGUCAGGAAAGAUGUAUGGCUGUGGAUGCUGACGGUACCAGAAAUCUUCCUCAGUCUCCCUCAGCAGCUGGGUGGCCUUCAUCAUAUCCUUUUCAUUCUUAUGUUCUUCAAACUGGGCACUCAUCAAACAAGUGAAGUAGCAGUAUUUGUCCCUGUGGACACACCACUACUCGAGGUGGCUCAGCGCCUGCUUAUAAAACCACAACACCUUCUGCUGACGAAUCAGGUCAUCUGUUUGUCCCAUCAUUUGUUCAGGUGGUAUUCUCUAGAUCUCUGCAUUAUAAAGGUACCUAUAUUUGUAAUCAAAAUAUAAUCCUAGAGGAAAAUUUUUGAGAAUGUGAAUAUCAUUCUCUCAUAAAAUGUUACUCAGUAGUUUUUAUAGUUAGUGAUGAUUCUUACCUGAGCCAAUUAUUAUAUUGUGAUUCCAAAUUCAGGAGAUGUUGAAAUUAAAAACCUUUUCUCGGCCAGGCGCAGUGGCUCAGGCCUAUAAUCUCAG
rnacentral:lncRNA from 13 species